rnacentral:misc_RNA from 1 species
GGGAAAUUUGUUGGCAUAUCUAGGUUGGAAAUCUAAAAUCAUAAAAUUUUUUGCAAAACAAGAAGAAUAAAUUUUCAGUUCUUAGGACUUCCAUGAAAAUUCCAAUUAGGUUCAUCGACUAUACGGCCUGAUAGGCAGGCUAGAUAGAGUAAAAAUUGUAAACUGUAACUUUGUGAAGGUUGAGCUUUUCUGGAACAGCAAACUAAUGUGUGUGAUGACAAACCAAAGAGGCAAAUUCUCUGUUGACUAUAUGCCUGCAAGAACUGGUAAUACCACAUCUAUGCUAGGAACAUCUGAUUAUCUCUCCCCACUAAUUUAAUGAUCAAUGAUCACAGCAAACAAAAAUCAUGGAUUCUUGCAAUAAUAUUUCAUAAAAUUAGUAUAACAGUGAGCCUAUAAUUGCCUGGCAAAAGUUUUGUCACAGUGGAAAUGGUAUGGAUUGAUCACAUUAUAUUCUCACUUGCUAAACGAGCAAUAUUUGAUCAAAUAGGUCUGGUCAUUUGGAUUAAUUAGUAGUAUUCUCGCUCAAUAUUUGAUCACUAUUAUAUUAGUUGUUGACAUACCAUUUGUACAGAGCUCCUACAGAAUCAUUACAGGCUGGUAAUCUUUGUAUGCGAAAGCAGAGCAACUUGAUCAAGACUAUAAAGGGAAUCAAUCAAGUGCAU